rnacentral:rRNA from 1 species
CCACGGUUCAUCCGUGAGGCCCUUUGGGUUGCAACUGUAAAUAAAUCGUUGUGCUUAAAGCGGGCUAUGAUACUCUGCCAGAGCGAUUUAGCAUGGGACUGCAGAGUAGCUGUAUUUGAGUGAAAGUUGAGUUUCGGCUCGGCUGUAGCUUGGUACAGCGCUUGUAAUGGAGCUCAGGGUGAGGCCCCGGGUACCAUGAGGCUAGAGGUGAAAUUCUGAGACCCUCAUGUGACCAACUAAGGCGAAAGCUGUCGUGGGCCACCACAAGCUCGUCUAUCAGGGACGAAAGUUGGGUGAUCGAAGACGAUUAGAUACCGUCGUAGUCCCAACUAUAAACGAUACCAACCGAGUAUUUGGGAAGACACUAUCCCAGCGAUCUUCUCAGAACUCAAGGGAAACCUUAAGUCUUUGGGUUCUGGGGGGAGUAUAGUCGCAAGACCGAAACUUAAAGGAAUUGACGGAAAGGCACCACCAGGAGUGGAGUCUGCGGCUUAAUUCGACUCAACACGGGGAAACUCACCAGGUCAGGACACAAGUUUGAUUGACAGGUUAAUAGCCCUUUCUUGAUUGUGUGGUGGGUAGUGCAUGGCCGUUUCCAGUUCGUGGAGUGAUCUGUCUUGUUGAUUCAGAUAACGAACGAGACCU